GAUCAACGCUGGCGGCGUGCCUCAGACAUGCAAGUCGAACGCGAAAGGCCCCUUCGGGGGCCGAGUAGAGUGGCGCACGGGUGAGUAACACGUAGGUAAUUUGCCUUUGGGUGGGGAAGUAACUCAGGGAAACUUGAGCUAAUACCGCAUAAUGCAGCGGCUCGACAUCGAGACAGUUGUUAAAGCGGGGGAUCGCAAGACCUCGCGCCUGAAGAGAAGCCUGCGGCAGAUUAGCUAGUUGGUAGGGUAAUGGCCUACCAAGGCGACGAUCUGUAACCGGCCUGAGAGGGCGGUCGGUCACACUGACACUGACAUACGGGUCAGACUCCUACGGGGAGGCAGC
rnacentral:rRNA from 1 species